UAAGAAUCAGGGCGGAGAAUGGGAAGAGGAAGCUUAAUUUUUUUUCUUUUUCUACCUUUUUUUCGAUAAUAUACAAACAACUGGCCAAAGUCGACUACAAACCAAAUCUAAGAUAUAAUGAACAUAAUAUUUGCAUGGAAUCGGACUACAGCUAACGAUAUACUCUAACCUGAACAGCAUUCAUCAUGUUGCUACGCAUGCCUGGCCUUCAGUCGAAACGUCUUUAAAUCGACAAGUGUUUGGAAAUCCUGGGUAAUCUGUGGCAUUAUCUCUUGGCUCAUUAAGGGGGAGUGACAUUAGGACAUUAAACAUCAGAAUUGGGAUGGCAAGAUCCAAAUUGUCGGCCACCAGCUGGAACAGGACAGGCCAUACCUAAUGAGAGCCACAUGCUUGUUACCAACAGUCAAGGACGCUGAAGCACUACAACUGGAAAGAACUACCUGAAGGACGUUCCUCCUCAUCCUGCUUGACCUGUCUGUUACCUUUGACUUGGUUACUCUUUGGAUCUCUUAUUAGCUCCAUCAGAGCUGGUUAUCAAUGAUACUCAUGUUUGCUGAUUCAAGUCCUUUGUUACAAGCCAAUCCUACAAGGAUUUAUGGACAGCAAUGCAGUCUGAAUCGACUAACCAGUGCCACUAAGGUAUCUAUGGGAUUGUUGCUUGUUUCAUGGCCUGGCCUCACUGCUUCUCAUCUUACUUCUACAGAGAUUUCACACAGCUUUACCUGUCAAUCGGAUACCAACAACCCCAUGAUCUCAACAUCCGUCUUAUGCCAGAUACUGAACUUUUGGUCAUCUUAGCAAGACCAUCAACUAAACAACCAUCAAGUGUCAUCCCAAAACUGGACUACUGCAGUGCCGUACUGGCCUUAUAGCAAGCAAUUUUGAACCUCACUGAUAAUCUGUAAUGCAAUAAAUACAUCUUGUUUUUAAUCAGAACUCAUAUUACACUCUUCUUGGUCAUUCUCACUAGCGGGCUUUAGCUAUCCACAUUGAAUUCAAGGCCCUGAUGCUUGAACUUCUGGAAGACCACCCCUGGGUCUACACCCUCUUCUCUAUACACUGAUAUUCCGAUUUGUGAAUAAAUGUCUGUGUUCUUGUGUCUGUGUUGUCAUAUCAUGGGGCAAUAAACUAUUUUACAACUUUCACAAAUUCAGUCCAUCAAUGGUGGAAUGGUCAAUGGGAGGCCCUAUACCAAGUGCCAACUUUUAUUAAGGAGGACUCUUGUGGUCCUUCUCCAAGUCUAUACUUUGGUGGAUUUAGACUGUUGGGAAGUAGUCUGCUGCAAAGUCUUCAAUGGUGUGGAAUUGGCAAAAGGAGACAUUGGGAGUGCAAAUGACCUUACCUUAGAACCAUAAAAUGGAAGAUUGGAAAACCCAUAACAGGAGGACCUGAAUGACCACUAAUUUGACAAGUUUAAAUCAGGGUGCCCAAAUUCGGUCCUGGAGCGCCAGCGUCCUGCAGAGUUUAGCUCCAGCUUGCCUCAGCACACCUGCCUGAAAGUUUCUAUUAUGCUUAGUAAUACCUUAAUUAUCAAGGGGCCUUAAUUAUUGUUGUAGCCUACUGGUUAGAGAGUCUGGCUUGUAUCUCUAGAAUUGCUGGUUCAAAUCUCAUGGCUGGCAGGUUGCAACUGUGGUGCCCUUGAGCAACUCACCUGAACCCUAAUUGCUAUCUUUGUGCUGAAGGCUAGUUUUCCACUGCUCCAGGUGUGUGUGUGGGUGUGUUCAUGAUUUGCAGUGCAUGUGUUCACUACUCAUAGGAAUGGGUUAAAUGCAGAGGUCACAUUUAAAGUAUGUGUUGCAUACUUGACAAGCAUGUCAUACUUUUACUUUUUGACAACGUUCUGACGACCUUAAGCUGCUUCAGGUUUGUUGAUUAAGGUUGGAGCUAAACACUGCCGGCACACCAGACCUUCUGGACCAAGUUUGGGCACCCCGGUUUAGAUCAAACCCAUAUCAAAACCACCUGCCUGUAAUUGUCAAGUAAUUCUUAAUUCAAGUAAUAGCUUUUUAGAGGUGUUUAAUCAAGGCUGGACAGUUACCAAAGCUCUGUUGGACAAUAACCUUUACAGGACUGUCUCGUGCCCUACUGUCUCGUGAACUUUGUGGUCACUGCAUGUCCACAAAAAUUACACAAUUUAAAGUGCAAAAACCCUUUCACCUCUGCCCUAGUGUUAAACUGGUAUAUACUUAACAUUUUGUAAAUAUGGUGUGCUUCUAUUGUGCUUUGCCUUACAACAGUUGCUUCUGUUUGUAAUUAUUCUUAUUGUAAAUCGUUUUGCAUAAAAUUGUCUGCUCAUUAAAUAAAUGGAGGAAGCGUACCAUAUAAAAGGCCCUAUUCUGACUUGUGGAGGUGGGAGUCACAAUGUUAGUACUGGGGGAAGUAAUGUUAACAUCAGAAAUAAGCAAAGCAACCUGCAAUACUUCUCCCAUAUCCACUCCCUAACCCCCAUGUUAAAUAGAUGGUAGGUGGUAAUUGGUUCUUUUGUGACCAGUUGCAACAUUUAAAUACGUUGGUUUAUAACUGACUUUGAGAGUUCUAAACAAGGCAUGCAUCUGAAGCAGUCUUGCAAUUCAAAAUUACAAUGAGGGCUUUGACACAUCAAGGUUAAGUAUGUAAUUUCAUAAUGUAAAUAUUAUUGUUUGAGGGUUACUACGAACUCUGAUGUUAUUUUAUUUCUGUGUCAUUAGCCUUGUGAAAGUCAAUUUGAAGAGUCAGACAAAAAAAUGUAAAAAAAACUAGUACAGAGACAGACAAUAGGCCAAACUAUACUGGAGAGAGUUACCUGAACUCUCUUGAUUUAAAAUCAGGCAAAGACCAGAUUUGUUCUGAUAACAAGAAGGGGUCAAACAACAAUAUUGUGACAAGAUCCUGCUUGAAGAAAAAAAGAAUUGCUUUCUGUUACUCAUGGCCAGAGCAUAUCUGUAGGACUGAAGUAUGUCUGUGUUUUGUCUCUCUUAUGGUCUGUCUGGGGAACAGUGGCUCCUAGGACCAUUUUAUCAAUGUGAUGUAAGCGUUUGAUUUUAAUCCUAAUUUGGCACUCAUAAGCCUUAGUAGAACAAUUACAUUCUCUGUAACACCAAGUAAUUGCAUACUAAUCAAGCCUCACUCAAAUGGUAUUGCUGAAGCCUCAAAAAUUAAUAUCACACCACAACAUUCAUGUUUCUGUGUUCACGUUUCUAUUCAAUCCAAUGUUUUCCAGUCAUGUUAGUUGACUAACCACUGUGUUUGUUAUUUCAUACAUUGGUCAUUAAAAGUAAUCAAAUGGAAAAUCCCCUACGUGUAUUUGUAUAUUUUUAAAUUACAGUAUGAAUAACCUUAUCCUUCUAUUCUCUGAACCCAUAUAUGUUCUGCAGGGUCGGGGGAGGGGGCUGGAGCCAUAUCCCCCAUUUUUGGGCCACAGGCAGGUUACAUCCUGAAAAUUAUUGAAUUAUUGUCUUCCUCUUGGAUUUGUGAUUGAUCAAACUAAACACAUUAGGGUUCCAUUGGUAGGAGCAUCACUAUACAUCUUAAAAUGUAAAACUCGUAAUAAAAUGUGAACUUUAUGAUUAUUCAAAUGUUGACAUUUCAUAUUUUUGUAAAUUUUGGUUGUCUUACGGCAGAUUCACUUGGGACGUCAGGGUGAACGCUUCUCAUUUACUUUGAAUAGGUGAUGUCAUUGGCUGCCGAACUGAAUUGUGGAUCUAUUGGUGUCGCGUCACUGCCGUUGCUCGCAGCAGUUCUCAGUUUUUCUAGCACCAAUGCAGGCGUCUGGCAACCAGAUUGCCUUAGUAAAAUACACUAGUGCAGAUACUUGCCUAUAACAUUUUUGCAAGACCAGAGAAACAUAAAAAUGGAGGAAAGAUUAAUAAUUGCGGUGGGUAUAACAUAAGAGCUACACCAGCAAUCGCUAGCUCAACCAAUCCAGCAUUCAUCUAUUGGAACAAAAGCUGCAUUUGUUGUGUUGCGUUGCAGUCCACUGUGAUUGGCUGUUGUCACUAUGACGAUUGCGCCAAGGCCACGCUUAAGACGUUAACGUUGACGCCCGGUGUGAAUGUACCAUUAGUUGAGGCACACCAUGGAUCUUGAGGCUUCUAAUACAACUAGAGAGUUUGGUAUUCCAAAACAACAUGGAUAUCACAUUCAUCAAUUGGCUUUUAAUGGCUAUAGACCUGUAAGACUGACCAGCAAAACUGGUUGACAGUGCUCCUCUUUUGACUUUUGGUUCUGGAAUUUUUUCAUUGCCCCUCCCUUCAGGUUGAUGGCUUGUAGCCCAUUUUACCAUUUUUAUUUAAAAAUAUUGCCAUGUCUUAUUUCCAUCAGUCUAAGUUAUGAAUAUUGUAUUUAACGUGUUUCAUUUAAUUUACUUGAUGUGGGAUAAGAGGCAUUUUAGAAAAGUCCCCAUGUUAAGGUUUGAUAUGAGGCAUCACUGGGUGAUCUUUCAGUUUGACAAGUUUCCCUGAUCCAAAUGUUCCCUUCCACUGUGAGUGACAGCUCACUAUCUGUCUUCGGUAGGUAACUCUGGUAAAAGUGGAUGUGGAAGUUCCAUAGAAUUAACUAGUAGCUAAAGAUUAACAGUCGAUCAUUGUGGUCACUCAGGACAAUUCAACA